AUACGUAGGGGACGAGCGUUGUCCGGAAUUACUGGGCGUAAAGGGCGCGCAGGCGGAUAUUUAAGUCAGCUGUAAAAGGCAUGAGCUCAACUCAUGUAUGCGGUUGAAACUGGGUAUCUAGAGUGCUGGAGAGGUAGGCGGAAUUCCCGGUGGAGCGGGGAAAUGCGUAGAUAUCGGGAAGAACACCAGUGGCGAAGGCGGCUUACUGGCCAGCAACUGACGCUGAGGCGCGAAAGCCAGGGGAGCGAACGGGAUUAGAUACCCCGGUAGUCCUGGCCGUAAACGAUGAAUGCUAGGUGUGGGUGUCGAGAGGCAUCCGUGCCGGAGUUAACGCGAUAAGCAUUCCGCCUGGGGAGUACGAUCGCAAGAUUGAAACUCAAAUGAAUUGACGGGG
rnacentral:rRNA from 1 species